UACGUAGGCAGCAAGCGUUGUUCGGAAUUACUGGGCGUAAAGCGUGUGUAGGCGGUGUCAUAAGUUUGGUGUGAAAUCUCCCGGCUUAACUGGGAGGGUGCGCCGAAGACUGUGAUGCUUGAGUGUGGGAGAGGUAAGCGGAAUUCCUGGUGUAGCGGUGAAAUGCGUAGAUAUCAGGAGGAACACCUGUGGUGUAGACGGCUUACUGGACCACGACUGACGCUGAGACACGAAAGUGUGGGGAGCAAACAGG
rnacentral:rRNA from 1 species